UGGGGAAUUUUGGACAAUGGGCGAAAGCCUGAUCCAGCAAUGCCGCGUGCAGGAUGAAGGCCUUCGGGUUGUAAACUGCUUUUGUACGGAACGAAAAGGCUCUGGCUAAUACCUGGGGCACAUGACGGUACCGUAAGAAUAAGCACCGGCUAACUACGUGCCAGCAGCCGCGGUAAUACGUAGGGUGCGAGCGUUAAUCGGAAUUACUGGGCGUAAAGCGUGCGCAGGCGGUUUUGUAAGACAGAGGUGAAAUCCCCGGGCUCAACCUGGGAACUGCCUUUGUGACUGCAAAGCUGGAGUGCGGCAGAGGGGGAUGGAAUUCCGCGUGUAGCAGUGAAAUGCGUAGAUAUGCGGAGGAACACCGAUGGCGAAGGCAAUCCCCUGGGCCUGCACUGACGCUCAUGCACGAAAGCGUGGGGAGCAAACAGGAUUAGAUACCCUGGUAGUCCACGCCCUAAACGAUGUCAACUGGUUGUUGGGUCUUAACUGACUCAGUAACGAAGCUAACGCGUGAAGUUGACCGCCUGGGGAGUACGGCCGCAAGGUUG
rnacentral:rRNA from 1 species